GACGUAGGUGGCGAGCGUUGUCCGGAAUUAUUGGGCGUAAAGGGCGUGUAGGCGGCCUGUUAAGUCAGAUGUGAAAUCCCAGGGCUUAACCCUGGGUCUGCAUUUGAAACUGGCGGGCUUGAGGACAGGAGAGGGAAGUGGAACUCCCAGUGUAGCGGUGAAAUGCGUAGAUAUUGGGAAGAACACCAGUGGCGAAGGCGACUUCCUGGACUGUCCCUGACGCUGAGGCGCGAAAGCCAGGGGAGCGAAC
rnacentral:rRNA from 1 species